AGACCACAAGAUUUCAUGCAUCUUCAUGCCAACAUUGGUAAUAUAAUCUUUACAAAUAGCAGGCAAUAAUGGAGAUGUGAUGUUUCAUUAUGUAUUGUUACAUGUGGGCUUUAAUAAAGUAUGACAGCAAAAUGGCUUUCAUCAAAUAUGUUUGCAUUGCUUUCAACAUAUGAUGAGUGUUUUUGCUCAAGAGGGCCCUGGUUCAAGACCAACCUGGGAUAUGUUCUACUUCCAGUUUCCUGGAAAUGGCAAAAUUUAAAAAUAAUAAUGUAAAAAUAAGUAAAAAUUUCUCCAGGUAAUCUCGUGCCAUCAGAAUAGGGCUAAAAGCAAAAAGUCAAUAAACCAGGGAUGCCUGAUUCUGUUCUUGAAGAUCUACCUUUAGCUCCAACCUUAAUCUAACACACCUGAACCAGCUAACAAGCUUGGAACAGGGUGAACUGAACUUUGCCGGUACAGUAGGCAAAAUAAUUUCCAUAUACAGAAAAUGAAACAAAAUUUGCAAUGAAUGAAGAUCCUAAGCUGUACGUUAUGUAACUAGAAUAUCACAGACAAUUGGAGGUGGGCUUUUAUUAUUUGGACCAAUAAGCAACCACCUAACAUCUAACAUCUAGGUGGUUCCUUUCUGAGGUGAACAAGUCUCAGCCUCAAGAUCUGUGAUGAGAUAUGUGAAAAGCUCUUUCGACUAUAGAAGAAAUACUUUAGAAAGGCAACCAUUGCACUGUGAAUUUAAUGCUAUUUCUUCUGUUGCUUGGUUGAAUUUUAUAAUCAUGAUCAGAGCAAUAAUUUUAAUGAUUAUCAUUGCUUUCAUGUUAAUAGUUUGUGUGGUUUGUUCUCCUGUCAUUCAGCAGUCUCCUAAACAUCUUCUACUGAGAGUGGAGGAGAAAGAGGCAAAGUUUUCUUGUCGUCACGGUGACAGCAGCUAUCAGUACCUGUACUGGUAUCAACAGAAAAGCAACGGUGGUUCUUUGGAGCUUAUUGGAAUGCUCAAUUAUGGCACAGCUUAUCAAGAGGAAAAAUUCAAAUCUCGAUUUAACAUCACAGGACAUGCUACAAAAGAUGCAUACAUGCUCAUAUCCAGCAUAUCUGCUGAGGACAGUGCACUAUAUUUCUGCGCAGCUAGUUUGCACAGUCAUACAAUUCCUUUUAAAUGUCACGGUGACAGCAGCUAUCAGUACCUGUACUGGUAUCAACAGAAAAGCAACGGUGGUUCUUUGGAGCUUAUUGGAAUGCUCAAUUAUGGCACAGCUUAUCAAGAGGAAAAAUUCAAAUCUCGAUUUAACAUCACAGGACAUGCUACAAAAGAUGCAUACAUGCUCAUAUCCAGCAUAUCUGCUGAGGACAGUGCACUAUAUUUCUGCGCAGCUAGUUUGCACAGUCAUACAAUUCCUUUUAAAUGCUGA
rnacentral:lncRNA from 1 species